CAGCGGGAGUUAGUCCUGCCAGGGUAAGAGUCAGAAGCCCUGUAGCUGAAGUAGCAGCGUGGAAGGAAACUGAGACGCUGGAGCCUACAGAUAAAGCCAUCUUAAGGGUGGUGAGCGAGUAACUAGGCCGUAGCGAAA
rfam:Alphaproteobacteria bacterium 41-28 SCNpilot_cont_1000_p_scaffold_1345, whole genome shotgun sequence.